AUUCCGGUUGAUCCUGCCGGAGGUCAUUGCUAUUGGGGUCCGAUUUAGCCAUGCUAGUUGCACGAGUUUAGACUCGUGGCGAAAAGCUCAGUAACACGUGGUCAAACUACCCUACGAAGACCCAUAACCUCGGGAAACUGAGGCUAAUAGGUCAUAGGAGAGUCACGCUGGAAUGCCGACUCUCCCAAACGCUCAGGCGUCGUAGGAUGUGGCUGCGGCCGAUUAGGUAGACGGUGGGGUAACGGCCCACCGUGCCGAUAAUCGGUACGGGUUGUGAGAGCAAGAGCCCGGAGACGGAAUCUGAGACAAGAUUCCGGGCCCUACGGGGCGCAGCAGGCGCGAAACCUUUACACUGCACGCAAGUGCGAUAAGGGGACCCCAAGUGCGGAGGGCAUAUAGUCCUCGCUUUUUCCGACCGUAGGUGGUCGGCGAAUAAGGGCUGGGCAAGACCGGUGCCAGCCGCCGCGGUAAUACCGGCAGCCCAAGUGAUGACCGAUAUUAUUGGGCCUAAAGCGUCCGUAGCCGGCCACGAAGGUUCAUCGGGAAAUCCGCCAGCUUAACUGGCGGGCGUCCGGUGAAAACCACGUGGCUUGGGACCGGAAGGCUCGAGGGGUACGUCCGGGGUAGGAGUGAAAUCCCGUAAUCCUGGACGGACCACCGAUGGGCGAAAGCACCUCGAGAAGACGGAUCCGACGGUGAGGACGAAAGCUAGGGUCUCGAACCGGAUUAGAUACCCGGGUAGUCCUAGCUGUAAACGAUGCUCGCUAGGUGUGGCACAGGCUACGAGCCUGUGCUGUGCCGUAGGGAAGCUCGAGAAGCGAGCCGCCUGGGAAGUACGUCGCAAGGAUGAAACUUAAAGGAAUUGGCGGGGGAGCACUACAACCGGAGGAGCCUGCGGUUUAAUUGGACUCAACGCCGGACAUCUCACCAGCUCCGACUAUAGUAAUGACGGCCAGGUUGAUGACCUUGCCACGACGCUAUAGAGAGGAGGUGCAUGGCCGCCGUCAGCUCGUACCGUGAGGCGUCCUGUUAAGUCAG
rnacentral:rRNA from 1 species